rnacentral:rRNA from 1 species
AUUGAACGCUGGCGGCAGGCCUAACACAUGCAAGUCGAGCGGUUGAGGGGCGCUUGCUGCUGGAUUCAGCGGCGGACGUGUGUGUAAUGCCUAGGAAUCUCCCUGGUAGUGGGGGAUAACGUCCGGAAACGGGCGCUAAUCCCGCAUACGCCCUGAGGGAGAAAGUGGGGGAUCUUCGGACUUCACGCUAUCAGAUGAGCCUAGGUCGGAUUAGCUAGUUGGUGGGGUAAAGGCCUACCAAGGCGACGUUCCGUAACUGGUCUGAGAGGAUGAUCAGCCACACUGGAACGGAGACACGGUACAGACUCAUACGGGAGGCAGCAGUGGGGAAUAGUGGAGCAGGGGCGAAAGAUUGAUCCAGCCAUGCGGAGUGUGGGAGGAAGGUCGUCGGGUUGUAAAGGACUUUAAGUGGGGAGGAAGGGCAGUACGUUAAUACCGUGGUGCAAGGACGUUACGGUAAGAAUAAGCACCGGCUAACUUCGGG